UAUAUCUUUAUCACAAAAGUCAAUCCCUGUGGAUACGAUCCUGUAAGAUACUACAAUGCCUGUAUACUUGCAGGUAAAACUGCACUAGAUUUUUGAUUCAUUAAUUUGAGUCAGAGUUUAGUCGCAAUCAGGAUUUUCGUGGUUUUAUGUCUCAUUUUUGUUCCCUUUUUUUUUCAUCAAAUCUAAUCAUAAAUGGAGUCCUGAGAAUUUUAUCGAUAUUUCUGUGUCAAGAUUUCACCAAUAUGCUUCUGCAUGUGCUCCCAUGCAUAGCUAGAAUCUUCUGCACGUUUGACCACGCCCUUCACGCACGGCUCCUCUCCAUCAGUUGCCUAUUAUAGCCCACUCAAAGCCGAACUUCAAACCCACCCAGGUAAGCCUUCGAACCCUUUUUCUGUAUUCUAUAACUCGGCCCCCUUGGUUCUAAGUCCAGCCCAGGUCCACCCAAGGCCCAUUGGCCAGUUGCCUGUUGACCCGUUGACUUAUUGACAGUUGACUUUGACCCAAAACAAAAACCCAUUAUGUCUCACUCCUCUCCCAACCUUGAUAUCAUUGUUCUUCCUAUUGAUAAUAUUUUAGAUGGCUUGAAUUAUAAUAUGUAAGCUCAAAAUAUGGAAGAAUUUCUUAGAGGAUGAAAAUUGUGGCGUUAUGUUUCUAGUGAUAUUCUUGUACCCCAACAAAAUGAUGGUGAGAGUCUUGAUGCAUUUGCAUGCCAGCUUGAAGAUUGGCAUAGUAUUCAUUAUAAAAUCUAGUCUUGGUUUAUCAAUAAUUCUGUUCCAUCCAUCCAUAGCCUACUUCCCAAAGCUUGGUAAUGCUAAAGCUGCUUGGGAUUUUCUUGCAUAUACAACUGCCCUCAUGAUGCUUCAUUGUAGUUCCAGUUUGAGACUAAGCUUUAUCAGGUGAUUAAGGAAUCAAGUCAAUCCAUUGCUGAUUUCUAUUCUCACGUUAAUAAUAUUUGGGAACAAUUGUCUGCUGCAGAUCCUCACUUUAAGUGUUCUGAAGAUAUUGAAUUGUUUGCAAACUACUAUGAUUGUCGGAAAUUUAUGCAUUUUAGGAUGGCACUUCAUGAGGAUUUUGAAUCCAAUCGGGCAUCUCUUUCGCAUCAUACAUCUCUUCCCUUUCUUAAGGUUGUCGUUGCUGAACUUAUCUCCAAAGAGAAUCAUCAUUUAACUAUGAAGAUGCAGACUCAAGAUUCAGUUGUAGCUGCCAUCCCUAGGACUACUUUUGGGUCUUCUACAGUCUUAGACCAUUCUCCUUCUCAAUACUUAAAGAUUGCCUUCUGCAAAUACUGCAAACAUCUUGGUCACUCUAUUACUAAAUGUCAUUAAUUGCAGAAUAAAAAUCAAUCUCGAGCCCCCUUGUUUCAAGCUGCUAUAGUGGCUUCAACUACUCAUUCUGCUCCUGAGUCUGCUGCUGAGCCUUCCUUAGUGUCCACUACUCUCACUGUUGCUGACAUUGAGGCAUUAAUUCAUCAGGUUUUAUCGCAGUCUUCUAAUGCUUUGUCUGUCACCUCAGGAUCCAUAGACGGGGUCAACUCAUUGGGACAUGCAGUAAGAUUGGACGUUUGUUCAAGCUCACUUCUUUGCAGCUUCCAUCACAUUUGUCUUGCUUCUUUGAUGCUCCUACUAUAUCUUCCCAGUUAUGGCAUUCUCGGUUAGGUCGUACUUCUCUUCUUUGUGUUCAUCUUUUGGCCUCCCAAGGUCACCUAGGUUCUAUUGGGUUUGAAUAUUUUGAUUGUGUCUCCUGUAAACUUGGAAAACAAACUCAUUUACCAUUUAAUAUAAGAGAAUCUUUUUCGACUGCA